UGCCCCAUGGCUGAGUCGGUUACAGCGUCCGACUGUUAUGCAGAUGUUUAUCAAUCGGAAGGUCGAGAGUUCGAGCCUCUCUGGGGCAG